rnacentral:rRNA from 1 species
UCGGGAAUAUUGCGCAAUGGAGGAAACUCUGACGCAGUGACGCCGCGUGCAGGAAGAAGGUUUUCGGAUUGUAAACUGCUUUAGAUAGGGAAAGAAAAAAAUGACACGUACCUAUAGAAUAAGCUCCGGCUAACUACGUGCC